rnacentral:rRNA from 1 species
GACGAAAGUGGCGAGCGUUGUUCGGAAUCACUGGGCAUAAAGCGCACGUAGGCGGUGCCGUAAGUCGGAUGUGAAAUCCCUCGGCCUAACCGAGGAACUGCGUCCGAUACUGCGGUGCUUGAGGAUCAGAGGGGUGCAUGGAAUUUCCGGUGGAGCGGUGAAAUGCGUUGAUAUCGGAAGGAACUCCGGCGGCGAAAGCGAUGCACUGGCUGAUUUCUGACGCUGAGGUGCGAAAGCCAGGGGAGCAAACGGG